CCCGGGUGGCAGCAGUGAGGAAUAUUGGUAAAUGGGCGCUAGCCUGAACCAGCCAAGUAGCGUGAAGGAUGACUGCCCUAUGGGUUGUAAACUUCUUUUAUAUGGGAAUAAAGUGCAGUAUGUAUACUGCUUUGCAUGUACCUUAUGAAUAAGGAUCGGCUAACUCCGGUCCAGCAGCCGCGGUAAUACGGAGGAUCCUAGCGUUAUCCGGAUUUAUUGGGUUUAAAGGGGGCUUAGUCGGGUUGUUAAGUCAGUAGUGAAAGUUUGCGGCUCAACCGUAAAAUUGCAGUUGAUACUGGCAUCCUUGAGUACAGUAGAGGUAGGCGGAAUUCGUGGUGUAGCGGUGAAAUGCUGAGAUAUCACGACGAACUCCGAUUGCGAAGGCAGCCUGCUGGACUGUAACUGACGCUGAUGCUCGAAAGUGUGGGUAUCAAACAGGAGUAGAUACCCCUGUAGUC
rnacentral:rRNA from 1 species